GGACUUCAAAGUGGGCAGGCUUUCCCCUAUAUCAAGUCUGCCGCCUUCGGGCGGAGAUGGCGAUGAAUGAUGCCGUGAAAUAGGUGCAGCGGACCCGGGGGCAGUACCCGGCGGCUCCACCAUAGCGCCUCGCAAGGCCCUUGGGUGCAAAACAUCCCGGGGCGGAGCCAGCCGGUAUGAUGGGGCCGAACCAGGAUAGACGUGUUCUGAAAGACGGUAUUUUUGCCCGGCCUGAAUGAGCCGUUAAACCGUUCAAAACCUACAAAUGCCAACGAUAACGAGGCAUUUGCGAUUGCUGCGUAACUGAGACCCCACAAGGUCUGGUUAUAACGCUUGAGCAGGGUCGGGCCGAACCCGGUAACAGAAUCGGACACCGGCGGUUUGGGGAGCACCGAGCAACAGAAGCUCCCCGCC
rnacentral:tmRNA from 1 species